CCUACGGGGCGCUGCAGUGGGGAAUAUUGGACAAUGGGCGAAAGCCUGAUCCAGCCAUGCCGCGUGUGUGAAGAAGGCCUUCGGGUUGUAAAGCACUUUCAGUGGGGAAGAAAGCCUUGGGGCUAAUACCCUCGAGGAAGGACAUCACCCACAGAAGAAGCACCGGCUAACUCCGUGCCAGCAGCCGCGGUAAUACGGAGGGUGCGAGCGUUAAUCGGAAUUACUGGGCGUAAAGCGCGCGUAGGCGGUCUGAUAAGCCGGUUGUGAAAGCCCCGGGCUCAACCUGGGAACGGCAUCCGGAACUGUCAGGCUAGAGUGCAGGAGAGGAAGGCAGAAUUCCCGGUGUAGCGGUGAAAUGCGUAGAGAUCGGGAGGAAUACCAGUUGCGAAGGCGGCCUUCUGGACUGACACUGACGCUGAGGUGCGAAAGCGUGGGUAGCAAACAGGAUUAGAUACCCCGGUAGUC
rnacentral:rRNA from 1 species